AACGAACGCUGGCGGCAUGCCUAACACAUGCAAGUCGAACGAGACCUUCGGGUCUAGUUGCGCACGCGUGCGUAACGCGUCGGAACCUUCCCUUAGGUUCGGAAUAACUCCCCGACGGGGGUGCUAAUACCGGGUAACUUCCUCUAACCACAGAUAUAGCGUCUUUGGUUGGGCACGCGUUGGUUUAGCUAGUCGGUAGUGUAAAAGCCUACCAAGGCGACGAUCGUUAGCUGGUCAGAGAGGAUGCGCAGCCACACUGGGACUGAGACACGACUCAGACUCCUUCGGGAAGGAGCGGUGGGGAAUAUUGGACAAUGGGCGAAAGCCUGAUACAGCUACGCCGCGUAAAGGAUGAAGGCCGGAGGAUUGUAAAGCUAGUUUAACCGGGAGGAGAAUGACAGUACCGGGAAAAUAAGGCACGGCUAACUCCGUG
rnacentral:rRNA from 1 species